rnacentral:rRNA from 1 species
UCUUCGGAGAGUUUGAUCCUGGCUCAGGACGAACGCUGGCGGCGUGCCUAAUACAUGCAAGUCGAGCGAAUCGAUGGGAGCUUGCUCCCUGAGAUUAGCGGCGGACGGGUGAGUAACACGUGGGCAACCUGCCUAUAAGACUGGGAUAACUUCGGGAAACCGGAGCUAAUACCGGAUACGUUCUUUUCUCGCAUGAGAGAAGAUGGAAAGACGGUUU